rnacentral:lncRNA from 1 species
GAACCACUUUGGAGAUCUGGAUGGUGGCCACUACACUGCCUUCUGCAAGAACUCAGUAACUCAGGCCUGGUAUAGUUUUGACGACACCCGAGUCAGUGAGAUUCCAGAUACUUCUGUUCAAACAGCCACAGCUUAUCUUUUAUUCUAUAGCUGCCAGCCUUUUUCUAUCCCAACACAGAAGCGCAAGAGCUGGGACAGCACUCCUGAUUACGGCAAGCCAGCCGUCAGGAAGUGGCCGUGAAUAUGCUUUGUUAUUAAAUCCUUCCCACCUAC